CAAGAACACAGGGGGCGACCAACUCACCCUCAAACCCUAGUUUCAACCAUUUGAUCAAAUUGAGGGCUUUAAUCUGUUCCAAAUCGAAAUCCAAACAUAAAAUAGUGAUCACCUCAGUAAAGGGAUCAUAAGGCAAAGAAACCGAGUCUUCAAGCGGACAAGCCGGGGGUGAUACGCGCUUGAAAGGAAAGCUUUGAAGGUGACUAUGGUGAACUUACGGAUGGCGAUCAAGCAAAUGUCCAAGAACCGAAAACGACUUUUGAAGCUUCCGCUAUGUUUUAACCUUUGAUAGACUUUGUUUAUGGGGUGUAAUCAAAUUGAUAAACAACUUUUGAAUAUUUUG